rnacentral:rRNA from 1 species
CGCUAGAGCGUCGGGCCUACACCGGACCGUCUGGACAAUCGCGUCGUUUGCCGUUCACGCGGUUUUCGACGGCACCACGUCCAGACGAGUAGGAGGGUCGCCGCGGUGAGCGUCGAAGCUCGAGGCGCGAGCCUGGGUGGAGCCGCCGCGGGUGCAGAUCUUGGUGGUAGUAGCAAAUAUUCA